GGGAGGGAAGGUGUAACUCUAAACAGGAAAACAGGAGGGAAGGUGUAACUCUAAACAGGAAGAUGGGAGGGAAGGUGUAACUCUAAACAGGAAGAUGGGAGGGAAGGUGUAACUCUAAACAGGAAGAUGGGAGGGAAGGUGUAACUCUAAA